rnacentral:tRNA from 1 species
GCCCAGGUGCUGAAAUUGGUAGACAGGCAUGGUUGAGGGCCAUGUGUCCGCAAGGGCGUGCGGGUUCGAGUCCCGCCCUGGGCA